rnacentral:rRNA from 1 species
UACGUAGGGUGCGAGCGUUGUCCGGAAUUACUGGGCGUAAAGAGCUCGUAGGUGGUUUGUCGCGUUGUUCGUGAAAACUCACAGCUCAACUGUGGGCGUGCGGGCGAUACGGGCAGACUAGAGUACUGCAGGGGAGACUGGAAUUCCUGGUGUAGCGGUGAAAUGCGCAGAUAUCAGGAAGAACACCAAUGGCGAAGGCAGCUCUCUGGGACGGUAC